CAAGAAGUUGAACAGAUCCCGCCGGCUCGCGAACUUCGAUCGUCUUCAAAUUAAAACUGAAGUUGAUUUUUUAUUAAUUUUUCCCUUUUUCUUGUCUCAGAUGUCAAAAUCACUUCGAAAAAGAUUCUUUAAUUCCACAUCAAUGGCGAGCGAUAAUCAUAGCUUGCUAUGAAAACGAUUUGUGUAGUGGAUGUCUGUCAUGUGUUUUGCGGAAUUUUCUCAACAAGCUUUGAUUAACAAUGGCGAAUUCGGUCGGGACAAUUUGAAAUUCAAGAUUGCUGUUGCCAAUGGAGUUAAAUUACUAUGUUAAUCCAUCGAAAUCGAGAAAGUUGGGGAACAAUCGUGUUGUUGGUGCUGCAAUAUAGGUACUCUAGGACUAGGCCUGCUUUAUUAUCCUUAGCAUGCUGGAUCAUGUCCGCCAUGGAAGCUACACGAACGAACUUUGUGACCUUUAUCUUCUUGCAAUGUCCCAUAUCUGGUGGAUUUUUCCCGGCAUCUCGUCAAGGAGUCUAAUUCUUCGUCAAUGGGAGUUGAAAAGCGAACAGCUUUAUAGUUUGCGAUUGAGGAACAUCCACUGUGAGAUGAGAUGACUGGUUCAUUCCCUGGAAAUUAGUUGAAGGGUCAGCAAUCAAAGGACAUAAAAAGGAAGUGAUCUUGAACGACAAUUCAUUAAACUAAGUCUAAAGAGUCUGCAGAAGAGGCAUAAAGCCAUGCUGUUCUCUAAUUGUUUGACAUUAUUUUGCUGCCUUCCUUGCACACAGGGAAGGAAGCUGGAUUCAACUUUUAAUUACUUCUUCCCGUUUGAGUUUGAAACAAGAAGAACGCUGUACCUCAGAAAUGGAUGACGGGUGAUUCUUUGAGAAAUUCAGAACCUUCCUCACGUAUGGCUGUGUGGAUUGCAUGUGCAAAGACGUUAUUGGUGUUUUUGCCUACCAAGUCUUCGGCUUUGAUCGACUCCAUUUCCCAAUCUGUAUUGAAGACCACAA